AUUGAACGCUGGCGGCAGGCCUAACACAUGCAAGUCGGGCGAGCGGCAGACGGGAGAGUAGUGUAUGGGGAUCUGCCUGAUGGAGGGGGAUCAAUACGGGAAACGGUAGCAAAUACCGUAUACCCGCAUGUGACCCCAUAUGGGAUUAGCUUGUGGGGGGGGUAACGGCUCACCUAGGCGACGAUCCCUCGCGGGUCUGAGAGGAUGAUCAGCCACACUGGAACUGAGACACGGCCCAGACUCCUACGGGAGGCAGCAGUGGGGAAUAUUGCACAAUGGGCGCAAGCCUGAUGCAGCCAUGCCGCGUGUAUGAAGAAGGCCUUCGGGUUGUAAAGUACUUUCAGUCGGGAGGCGUUACCGGCAGAAGAAGCACCGGCUAACUCCGUGCCAGCAGCCGCGGUAAUUC
rnacentral:rRNA from 1 species